CCUACGGGGGGCAGCAGUGGGGAAUAUUGCGCAAUGGUCGAAAGCCUGACGCAGCGACGCCGCGUGAGGGAUGAAGGUCUUCGGAUCGUAAACCUCUGUCAGCAGGGAAGAACGGUCACUGUGCUAAUCAGCAGUGAAUUGACGGUACCUGCAAAGGAAGCACCGGCUAACUCCGUGCCAGCAGCCGCGGUAAUACGGAGGGUGCGAGCGUUGAUCGGAAUUACUGGGCGUAAAGCGCUCGUAGGCGGUAUGUCAAGUCAAGGGUGAAAUCCCCGCGCUCAACGUGGGAACUGCCUUUGAAACUGGCAAACUGGAGUGUGUGAGAGGAUAGUGGAAUUCCAGGUGUAGGAGUGAAAUGCGUAGAUAUCUGGAGGAACAUCAGUGGCGAAGGCGACUAUCUGGCACAUAACUGACGCUGAGGAGCGAAAGCGUGGGUAGCAAACAGGAUUAGAUACCCUUGUAGUC
rnacentral:rRNA from 1 species